GAGGUGGUUUCAGGUAGUGGUUACUACAGUAGAGGUGGUUUCAGGUAGUGGUUACUACAGUAGAGGUGGUUACUACAGUAGAGGUGGUUUCAGGUAGUGGUUACUACAGUAGAGGUGGUUACAGGUAGUGGUUACGAUAGUAGAGGUGGUUUCAGGUAGUGGUUACUACAGUAGAGGUGGUUACUACAGUAGAGGUGGUUUCAGGUAGUGGUUACUACAGUAGAGGUGGUUACUACAGUAGAGGUGGUUACAGGUAGUGGUUACGACAGUAGAGGUGGUUUCAGGUAGUGGUUACGACAGUAGAGGUGGUUUCAGGUAGUGGUUACUACAGUAGAGGUGGUUACUACAGUAGAGGUGGUUUCAGGUAGUGGUUACUACAGUAGAGGUGGUUUCAGGUAGUGGUUACUACAGUAGAGUUGGUUACUACAGUAGAGGUGGUUACUACAGUAGAGGUGGUUUCAGGUAGUGGUUACUACAGUAGAGUUGGUUACUACAGUAGAGGUGGUUUCAGGUAGUGGUUACUACAGUAGAGGUGGUUUCAGGUAGUGGUUACUACAGUAGAGGUGGUUACUACGGUAGAGGUGGUUACUACGGUAGAGGUGGUUACUACGGUAGAGGUGGUUUCAGGUAGUGGUUACUACAGUAGAGGUGGUUUCAGGUAGUGGUUACUACAGUAGAGGUGGU